GGGGCCUAGUUAAUGGAAAUAUGUGUGUGUGGGAGGUCAAGUGCCUUUGAAGGGUGUGUCUGGUCCCUGCCCCUUCCUCUGGCUCCUUCCCUCUCUCUGCUUCCUGGCCGUCAUGUGGUGAGCAGCUUUCUCUGGAACACCCUGCUGCCAUGAUGUUUCUGCCUCACCACAGGCCUGAGGCAAUGGAGCCAGCCAACCAUGGACUGAGACCUCUGAAACUGUAACUGCUCUUCUCCAGCUUGGGCCAUGUGACUUGUUUUAACUAAUGAGAUGUGAAGUCCACGGUGUCGUUGCUGCAGUCAGCUCCUCAGAGCAUUUGGUAAGGCCCUUGGUCUUACAAGAUGAGACCAGAGGAUGAGGCAAGUGGAGAGGCGGAUAGCCUAGCGCUGACUCGAUGCCCUUUGUCUACAGAUCGGACCCUCUGACCCUAUGGGAGGAAACGUCGUGCUCCCAUAAGGACUUGCGCAGUACAGACCGAAGGCCUUACCAAACGCUCCGAGGAGCUGACUACAGUGAAGAACACCCGGGAAGGAACACACCGAGGAGCUGACUACAGCGAUGAACACCCGGGAAGGAACACACCGGAAGGAACACACCAGAAGGAACACACCAGAAGGAACACACUGGACAAGUUGGAAAGUAAAACAGACCUUAGUCUGGCCAGAUGGCACUCCCAAAGCAAAGUAGCUUAGAGAGGCGACUAGUCCAGAGUCCGAGGCUCUUUUUAUAGGGGGUUGCAAGGGAAGUUAACAGGUGAAAUUUACAGAAGAGGAACAAAGGUUAGUGGUCAGCUGACACAUACUGAUGGUCAGCAGAUGUUUGUAGAUUGUUCUAUAGAUAGUGGUGUCAGAACAUCAGUUUUGAAGAAA
rnacentral:lncRNA from 1 species